rnacentral:rRNA from 1 species
GACGAACGCUGGCGGCGUGCUUAACACAUGCAAGUCGAACGGAAAGGCCCUGCUUGCAGGGUACUCGAGUGGCGAACGGGUGAGUAACACGUGGGUGAUCUGCCCUGCACUUCGGGAUAAGCCUGGGAAACUGGGUCUAAUACCGGAUAGGAGCCAUUUUUAGUGUGAUGGUUGGAAAGUUUUUUCGGUGUAGGAUGAGCUCGCGGCCUAUCAGCUUGUUGGUGGGGUAAUGGCCUACUAAGGCGGCGACGGGUAGCCGGCCUGAGAGGGUGGACGGCCACAUUGGGACUGAGAUACGGCCCAGACUCCUACGGGAGGCAGCAGUGGGGAAUAUUGCACAAUGGGCGCAAGCCUGAUGCAGCGACGCCGCGUGGGGGAUGACGGCCUUCGGGUUGUAAACUCCUUUCGCUAGGGACGAAGCUUUUUGUGACGGUACCUAGAUAAGAAGCACCGGCGAACUACGU